UUUUUAGGGAAAACCAAAAACCCCCCAGGGAGAUUUUCGAGCCAAAAGCCCCAAAACGAGAAAAAAAAAAAAAAAGGAUUUUGGUUUGUGGGUAUUGUAUAAGAGGAAAAACCCAGAAAACCACAAACGGGUUAAAACAAGAGAAAUAGGGAGUCUCUCAUGAAGCCCGCAUCUCCUAGAGAUCUGGUGGAGAAAACGUUGAAAGUGUCACUAGAGAGACAGACAAAGAAGGUAAUGUUUAGGAGAGAUAUAGAGAGAGAAAGAAUGAGCUGGCUAAGAGAAACAAAC
rnacentral:misc_RNA from 1 species